AGUGGCUGGGCGUGAGGGGCGUGGUGGUUCACGCCUGUAAUCCCAACACUUUGGGAAGCCGAGGUGGGCAGAUCAUUUGAGCUGAGGAGCUCAAGACCAGCCUGGACAACAUGCUGAAACCCCAUCUCUACUAAAACUACAAAGAAUUAGCCAGGCGUGGUAGCACAUGCCUGUAGUCGCAGCCACUCGGGAGCCUAAGGCAGGAGAAUUGCUUGAACUUCCCCAGCUUCAAGAGGAAGAGUCUGCAGUGAGCCGAGAUGGUGCCACUGCACUCCAGCCUGGGUGACGAGUAAAACUCCCUCUCAAAACAAACAAACAAACCAAAAAAACAAAUAGCAACAGCAACCGCAAUCAUCAUCACCAUCAAGGCUGGAACAAGGAUGAGGCAGGCAGGCUCUGAUAGUAACAGGAGGAAGCAGACCAAGGAGGGAGAGAAAGGAAGGCAGAGAAGGGGAAAAAAAAACACAAAUGAUAAUAAUAGAUGCUGACAUUUACGGAGCACUUACUAUGUGCUGGGAACCAUGCUGAGGGCACACCGAAUCCACUGAACAGUUGGAUCUCUUUGGGUUUUGGAAUAACAAAAAAGGGACUGUACAUGGAUAUUUCCAAGCUGGAACCGAGGCACUUUCUAGACGAAGGCAGCCUUAUCCCCAGGAGAUGAUUUAAAAUGUAAAAACUAUUCUGAGCCUGCAGGCCAUAGCCAAAGAGGUACCGGCUGUAUUUUGUCCAUGGGCAGGAGCUUGUGACUGCUGGUCUAGGUCAUUCCAGGUCAACCAGGGGCCUCUCCCAGAGUGAGAACCACUGGUGACUCCCCAGACUGGGACCAAGUGAAAGCACUUGGCUGGAUCAGAGGGAUACAAGCCUGGCUGCUCCUAAAACAAGACACUACUUGCCUUUGAUGUUCAAGUCAUUUAAGAACGCAAUUGCUUCCUACUCAAUUUUUCAAAACCAAAAUAACAAAUACGAUAUGAGCCAUAACUUAGCAAAAUUACGUGUUUUAAACAGUCUCUUUCAAAAAACAAUAGAUUAAAAAGUGCAAUGUUUUUACCCCCUCUUAAAUUGGAAUCAUGGUAUAGCAGGCAGGAUACAAACUUCUCAUUUCCAUUACACAUUUUCAGUGCCAUCAUUAAUCUGAAUGAUAUCAACAAAAUGCCCAAUGCAUAUAAAUCAGUCAGACUUUGAAUCAUUCCUACAGCCUCUGAACGUUUACCAUGGAGCUCAAUAAGCCAGGCAGGAACACAGAUUUUUUUUUUUUUUUUUUUUUUUUGAGACGUAGUCUCACUCUGUCACCCAGGCUGGAGUGCAAUGGCGUGAUCUCGGCUCACUGCAACCUCCGCCUCGUGGGUUCAAGUGAUUCUCCUGCCUCAGCCUCCUGAGUAGCUGGGAUUACAGGCAUGCACCACCACACCGGCUAAUUUUUGUAUUUUUAGUAGAGAUGGGGUUUCACCAUAUUGAUCAGGGUGGUCUUCAACUCCUGACCUCGUGAUCCUCCCACCUCGGCCACCCAAAGUGCUGGGAUUACAGGUGUGAGCCACCGGGCCCAGCCGUAGGAACACAGAUAUUAUCAUCAUGGGACAAGUCAUCCAUUCCCAGAUUCGAGGACCCUCUCUGGUGUCCACUGUGGAUUUCAGCACACGUUUAACUAUGAAAGUCUAGUCACGCUUUUUGAUAUACAGGUUCAUGGUUACUAGUGUCUUAUCCUGCUUGAGCCAAGAAUAUGCACUAACAGAUUAGACAAACCUUGAAUUAAAAUGUGCAACCCACCAUCCAAAUGGGGAAAGAUAAUUACAGACAAGUUCGUACGAGUAAACUACUUGAAGGCAAUUCCUGUGCUUAAAAUGGCCACGUGAAAGGUGUCCCUGACAUGGAAAGGACAAACCAUGAAAUGACCCUUGAAGCUCUUAAUGUGUCUGUCAAAAAAGCAAAGCCAACUGUCAAACUGAAAAGCCAAAAUCAUCACAAAAACACCUAUUCUUCAGAGGCCUCAAAUCUCAAACUACCUCCCACCAUCCUUUGUAAGUAUGUAUAAGGAGGCCAGGAAACUAGCAUUUGCUGAGAUUUUACUCUCAGCUUUGUAUGCUUUGCAUAAAUGAUGUCAUCGAACACAUUGACAGGACCUACUGUUACGUUUUCAAGGCCACCCAGAAAGAAAUUUGAAGUUGGGUUUAUAUCCUUAAUCCCUCAGUUAGAAAAAAAAGAAAAGUGAAGAAACUCCAUCUCCAAGAUCCUGCUAUAUCAACUUCAGUUUUUUGAAGUUAAAUUUGAUUUUUAAAUCCCUUGGCUGAUGAGACCUGUGUGGGUUUUUUUUUGUUGUUUUUUUGUUUUGUUUUGUUUUGUUUUAUCAUUUUACCUCUAUUUAAAAAAUAGAGACUUGUGGUUCUUUUUCCAAAAGCAGUCCAAAAGAAAGUGAAUGGAGGUCAAUGCAUAAUAAAAUGAGAGUUACCUUUUGA